CCCUUAGAUGUUCUGGGCCGCACGCGCGCUACACUGAUGCAUUCAACGAGUCUAAAACCUGGUCUGAUAGGGCUGGGUAAUCUUUUGAAUGUGCAUCGUGAUUGGGAUAGAUGAUUGCAAUUCUUCAUCUUCAACGAGGAAUGCCUAGUAAACGCAAGUCAUCAGCUUGCAUUGAUUACGUCCCUGCCCUUUGUACACACAGCCCGUCGCUCCUACCGAUUGAAUGUUCCGAUGAAUACCAUGGACUGAGAGUAUGAAUGGGUUCGCCUAUUUCUGCUUCUCGGGAAGUGGAGUAAAUCUUAACAUUUAGAGGAAGGAGAAGUCGUAACA
rnacentral:rRNA from 1 species